GUGGCACUUUACUGGUUGGGAAGCCUUUC
rnacentral:piRNA from 1 species